rnacentral:rRNA from 1 species
CAAGCUACUAAGGGCGCACGGCGGAUGCCUAGGAGCAAGGAGCCGAUGAAGGGCGUGGUAAGCUGCGAUAAGCUGCGAGGAGCCGCAAACAGGCGUUGAUUCGCAGAUCCCCGAAUGGGAGAACCCGGCCACCGAAUGGGUGGUCACCCACCGCUGAACCCAUAGGCGGUGUGGAGGGAACCCGGGGAACUGAAACAUCUCAGUACCCGGAGGAAAAGAAAUCGAAUGAGAUUCCCUCAGUAGCGGCGAGCGAACGGGGAAGAGCCUAAACCAAUCGGGCGUGCCCGAUUGGGGUCGUGGGACCGACAUCAGAGAGCGAACCGCUUAGCAGAAGUGUCUGGAAAGGCACGCCACAGCGGGUGACAGCCCCGUAUGCGAAAAGUGGAACGCCUCGUCGGAAUCCCGAGUAGCACGGGAUAAGAGGAACCCUGUGCGAAUCUGCCCGGACCACCGGGUAAGGCUAAAUACUCCUUGCUACCGAUAGCGCAACCAGUACCGUGAGGGAAAGGUGAAAAGCACCCCGGCGAGGGGAGUGAAAUAGAACCUGAAACCGUGCGCUUACAAACAAUCGGAGGACUAUACCCCUCUGGGGGACAGUCUGACGGUGUGCCUUUUGCAGAAUGAGCCGGCGAGUUGUGCUCAGCGGCAAGGUUAAGCGUCUCAGACGCGGAGCCGUAGCGAAAGCGAGUCCACACAGGGCGUCCCAGUCGCUGGGUGCAGACCCGAAACCGCGCGAUCUAACCCUGGUCAGGCUGAAGCCGUGGUAACACACGGUGGAGGGCCGAACUGGUGACCGUUGAAAAGGUCUCGGAGGAACUGGGGUUAGUGUGGUGAAAUGCCAAUCGAGCGCGGAGAUAGCUGGUUCUCCCCGAAAUGCAUUGAGGUGCAGCGUCACGGAUUAUGCUGUGCAGGUAGAGCCACUGGAUGGGCUAGGGGCCCCACCAGGUUACCGAACCCAACCAAACUCCGAAUGGCAUAGCAGGAACCGUGGCAGUGAGACAGCGACGGAUGAGCGCCGUUGUCAAAAGGGCAAUAGCCCAGAUCGCCCGCUAAGGUCCCUAAACACAGGCUAAGUGUUAAAGGAUGUAGGGUCGCGUAAACAACCAGGAGGUUGGCUUAGAAGCAGCCAUCCUUUAAACAGUGCGUAACAGCUGACUGGUCGAAUGUGACCCUGCGCCGAUAAUGUAAGGGGGCUCAAGCCUGUUACCGAAGCGGCGGGUUCCCAGCAAUGGGAGCGGUAGGGGAGCGUUCUGCUCGCAGGGAAGGUGGAGCGAAAGCACCACUGGAGCGUGCAGAAGUGAGAAUGCCGGCACGAGUAGCGAGAAGACGGGUGAGAAUCCCGUCCGCCGAAAGCCUAAGGGUUCUUCAGGCAGGUUCGUCCGCUGAAGGUUAGGCGGUCCUAAGUCGAGGGCGAAAAGCCGUAGGCGAAGGGCAGUGGGUCAACAUUCCCACCCCAGGUGGUGGAGCCAAGCGGUGACGCUUCAGAAUCGGUCGGGCGCAGAGUUGGAAGGCUGCGCUCGCCCCAGCGGCAACUCUGGGGCGACGAAGGGAUCCUUCGGGUGAACGAAGCGACUGUGACUGGAGCCGAGAAAACCCGUGUAGCGUUGAAACCACCUGACCGUACCGCAAACCGACACAGGUAGGCGAGGCGAGGAGCCUCAGGCGCGCGAGAGAAGUCCCGCUAAGGAACUCGGCAAAUUGACCCCGUAACUUCGGGAGAAGGGGUGCCUCGAAAGAGGUCGCAGCAAAGCGGGCCCGGCGACUGUUUACCAAAAACACAGCUCUCUGCGAAGGGGAAACCCGAUGUAUAGGGGGCGACGCUUGGCCAAUGCCCGUAGGUUAAGGGGAGGGGUCAGCCGCAAGGUGCAGCCCUGAACUGAAGCCCGGGUGAAUGCCGGCCGUAACUCUAACGGUCCUAUGGUACCUUCGCUGCCCCCCUCAUGGGUAACCAUGAGGUGCGCACCCAGCUAUAUGCUGGAAACUCCGAGUAUCCAGCGGUACUCGCAGGAAAUUCUCACCCGUGAGAAAAUACAAUUCCUGUGAGUAACAAUCCGUCUGGUGCGGACAACCAGCAGGAAAGACUAAUCACUUUCGGUGAUUAGAAUCCUCAGAGACCAUACGCUGGGUACCUCAAUGACGAGGUGAAGAGAUGGUCCCAUCUGCAUGGCGACAUGCAGGAGCUAUCCCCUAUGACAAGGAAGGGUGUGGCUCGCUCGAGACAAAUCUCGGGUAAGACGAUAAGCGAAAUUCCUUGUCGCGUAAAUUGCGACCCGCACGAAAAGCGUAACGACUGGGCCACUGUCUCAGCGGGACUCUCGGUGAAACUGUAGCACCCGUGAAGAUGCGGGUUACCUGCGGUAGGACGGAAAGACCCUAUGGAGCUUUACUACAGCUUGAGAUUGCAUUUCGGUAUGUCAUGUAGAGCGUAGGUGGGAGCUUCGGCGCCAAUGGAACACCACCCUUGACCUACUGGAAUGCUAACCUGCGCCGUGAUCCGGCGUGGAGACAGUCUUAGGCGGGUAGUUUGACUGGGGCGGUCGCCUCCCAAAGUGUAACGGAGGCGUCCAAAGGUCCGCUCAGCGCGGUCGGAAAUCGCGCGUCGAGUGCAAGGGCAUAAGCGGGCUUGACUGUGAGACCAACGGGUCGAGCAGAUGCGAAAGCAGGGCCUAGUGACCCUCUGGCUGUGCGUGGGCACGCCAGGGUUCAACGGAUAAAAGCUACCCUAGGGAUAACAGGCUGAUCCUGCCCGAGCGUCCACAGCGACGGCGGGGUUUGGCACCUCGAUGUCGGCUCGUCGCAUCCUGGGGCUGAAUAAGGUCCCAAGGGUUGGGGGGUUCACCCAUUAAAGCGGCACGCGAGCUGGGUUCAGAACGUUAGCCCAACAGGGCGUGGCGUCCCACAGGAGUAAUCCUGUGGUGCCUACCGGCUCAUAUCGGUAGACCCCUCCUGCAGUCCACCGAACGCUGCAGAGGGCAAUACCGAGGGAAGAACGGGAGCUGAAGAUGAAGGACCUUCUGAUUGGUAUGAUUCUCGGAGAUGGCUAUCUCGAACCGCACGGGCGCGGCGUGCGCCUUCAGGUCUUGCACGCCGAACGCUUCCGCGACUAUGUGGCGUGGAAGCACGAAAUGCUGGCUGAUUUGAAACCAUCCCCGAUGAAUCGUCAAUCCAACAGAGGCUACCCAUACUGGCGUUUCGUCACCCGAUGCCAUCCGCUCCUUGCAGAGCUGCGAGCGCUUUUCUACCCUCAUGGGAGAAAAGAGGUUCCAGAGAACAUCGUUGAAUUGCUCAACACGCCUCUGGCGCUUGCAGUCUGGUACAUGGACGAUGGCACGCUUGACAAACGACAGGGUUCGGUCAAAAUAGAGACGCAGUGCUUUUCCAGAAUCGGUCUGGAACGCCUGUGUGAUGCGCUUGAAGCAAACUUCGGUUUGGAGGCGCAUAUCCACACAAGUCCGAAGCGACACGCACACUGGCUCUAUCUCCCAGUGAAACAGGCGCAACGGCUUGUGCAAUUGAUUGAACCCUAUGUUGUGCCAGUGAUGCGGUGCAAGCUGCCGUUCCCCGUAACGACUGAAGGCUUUACGCCUGAGAUGGGCGUCCUGCCCUAAAUAGGGCAAAUCUAUGGCGCUCAUCACACGCCGGCUCCUCCUGGUCCUUCGGGAGGAUGGAGGUAUAGUCUACACCCUUGGAAACAAGGGAGAUAUGUGCGUGAGACAGUUCGGUCCCUAUCCACCGCAGGCGCAGGAGACUUGAGGGGAGCUGGCCCUAGUACGAGAGGACCGGGCUGGACUGACCUCUGGUGUACCAGUUGUCCCGCCAGGGGCAGACGCUGGGUAGCCAUGUCGGGACGGGAUAAGUGCUGAAAGCAUCUAAGCGCCAAGCCCACCCCAAGAUAAGGUCUCCCAUCCGGUUAACGGAGUAAGGUCCCCGGUAGAUGACCGGGUUGAUAGGCGGCAUGUGUAAGCGCAGUAAUGCGUUGAGCUGAGCCGUACUAAUUGACCGAGGGCUUGCCU